CCUACGGGAGGCAGCAGUGAGGAAUAUUGGUCAAUGGACGAGAGUCUGAACCAGCCAAGUAGCGUGAAGGAUGACUGCCCUAUGGGUUGUAAACUUCUUUUAUAAAGGAAUAAAACGAGGCACGUGUGCCGUUUUGCAUGUACUUUAUGAAUAAGGAUCGGCUAACUCCGUGCCAGCAGCCGCGGUAAUACGGAGGAUCCGAGCGUUAUCCGGAUUUAUUGGGUUUAAAGGGAGCGUAGAUGGGUUGUUAAGUCAGUUGUGAAAGUUUGCGGCUCAACCGUAAAAUUGCAAUUGAAACUGGCAGUCUUGAGUGCAGGUGAGGUAGGCGGAAUUCGUGGUGUAGCGGUGAAAUGCGUAGAUAUCACGAAGAACCCCGAUUGCGAAGGCAGCUUACUGAACUGUGACUGACAUUGAGGCUCGAAAGUGUGGGUAUCAAACAGGAUUAGAUACCCGAGUAGUC
rnacentral:rRNA from 1 species